rnacentral:rRNA from 1 species
AUGAAGAAAGAUUUCUUCUCCUAUGGAUCCUUCUCGAUUAAGGAUGGUUCAGAAAUUAGAUUCUGGGAUGACAGGUGGCUAGGAAAUGCCACACUUCGGGAACAAUAUCCGGCUCUAUACAAUUUUGUGCGUCACAAUGGCGACACUAUUGCCACUGUAAUGGAAUUAUUUCCGCCAAAUGUGAUGUUCAGAAGAGAUUUAAUUGGACCCAGACUCCAAUCGUGGUACAUCCUGCUUCAACAGUUGCCCACGGUGCUAUUGUCACGUGGGUCUAAUGUAUUUCGACGCAACCUACAUGGGAAUGGACAAUUCUCAGUGGAGUCUAUGUAUAGAGUGUUAAUCCAGUCUAAUGUGCCAAUUGAUAACAUAUUUGCAUGGUAUCUUCGUCACGAAGUCAUUCUUACUAAAGAUAACCUUAUCAAGAGGAAUUGGCAUGAAAGUCCGCAUUGUUGGGAAACAUAG